UGGGGAAUAUUGGACAAUGGGCGAAAGCCUGAUCCAGCCAUGCCGCGUGUGUGAAGAAGGUCUUCGGAUUGUAAAGCACUUUAAGUUGGGAGGAAGGGCAGUAAGCGAAUACCUUGCUGUUUUGACGUUACCGACAGAAUAAGCACCGGCUAACUCUGUGCCAGCAGCCGCGGUAAUACAGAGGGUGCAAGCGUUAAUCGGAAUUACUGGGCGUAAAGCGCGCGUAGGUGGUUCGUUAAGUUGAAUGUAAAAGCCCCGGGCUCAACCUGGAAAUUCCACCAAAACCGGCCGAGUAAGGGUAGGGCAGGGGGUGGGGAAAUUCCCUGUGUAGCGUUAAAUGGGUAAGAAUUGGGAAGGACCACCGUGGGGAAAGGCAACCACUGGGGCUCAUCCUGACCCUGGGGGGCAAAGGCGGGGGAGGCAAACAG
rnacentral:rRNA from 1 species